UACGUAGGGUGCGGGCGUUGUCCGGAAUUAUUGGGCGUAAAGAGCUUGUAGGCGGUUUGUCGCGUCUGCCGUGAAAAUUCGAGGCUCAACCUCGAACUUGCGGUGGGUACGGGCAGACUAGAGUGUGGUAGGGGAGACUGGAAUUCCUGGUGUAGCGGUGAAAUGCGCAGAUAUCAGGAGGAACACCGAUGGCGAAGGCAGGUUUCUGGGCCACUACUGACGCUGAGAAGCGAAAGCAUGGGGAGCGAACAGG
rnacentral:rRNA from 1 species